AUGCACCACUCGCACGCUCGGGCUCCUGUGCCCAGCCACGCCCAUCUGGUAACUGCUCGCGGCCUGUUUACCACUC
rnacentral:sRNA from 10 species